UAGGAAGCCAAAGGCUUGGAAAGAAUAGCCACUCACACCUCACAGUUGUGGGGGCUGGAGUCAAGAUCAAUGCUCUGGCUGAUCCGUGGUGUCUGGUGCGCCCACCUUUUUGGUGCAUAGGUGGCUUCCUUCUGUGUUCUCAGUUGUUUAGAGAGACGAGAGUCAGAGGGCCAAGAAGUCAGGGCGUGCACGCUAUGCAAGCAGAAGCAUAUUGGAGAACAUCUUCCAGUGGGGAGCAGACCUGCUUGGGAGAAAGUCGCAGCUGAGUGCAGAGGCCUCCUUCAUCUCACCAGCCAGGCCAAGCUGUCCUUCUCUGUGUGGAUGUAAGUGACGGGAAGCAGAUGGUCAAUAGACUCUUCCCCCUGACAAGGCACACACAACACGAGAUGCAAACGUCUGACAAGUAGAUACGGUCAUGGAGAGAAAGAAAAAGGAGGACUCCUGUUUCUGAAGCAGAAAGCCUGAGCCCCGGUUGACUGACUAAGUGACUAGUUGUCUUUCUCAGUGAGAUAUCUGAAGUACAGCAAGUGUGCCACUGUGAGAGCCUGUUGCAUGAAAAAUCAAAGACCCAGAGACAGAUAUUGGUGUUCAGUCUUCAAGCUGAAGAUCAGAAAAGCAAAGCAGCCAAGCCACUCGCUCUUACUUCAAGCUCAGGCU